rnacentral:rRNA from 1 species
GCGAGAAAACUUUGCAAUGUGCGAAAGCACGACAAGGUUAAUCCGAGUGAUUUCUGCUAAAGAAAUCUUUUGCAAGUCAUAAAACCACUAGUGAAUAAGGGGUGGGCAAGUUCUGGUGUCAGCCGCCGCGGUAAAACCAGCACCUCAAGUGGUCAGGAGGAUUAUUGGGCCUAAAGCAUCCGUAGCCGGCUCUGUAAGUUUUCGGUUAAAUCCAUGUGCUCAACGCAUGGGCUGCCGAAAAUACUGCAUAGCUAGGGAGUGGGAGAGGUAGACGGUACUCGGUAGGAAGGGGUAAAAUCCUUUGAUCUAUCGAUGACCACCUGUGGCGAAGGCGGUCUACCAGAACACGUUCGACGGUGAGGGAUGAAAGCUGGGGGAGCAAACCGG